CUCUACAAGAUUUGGUAGCAUCAUUACACUAAAUAUAGGACUUAUUGUGUCUACCCAAAUCAGAAGGAGCAAAUUUGCUCAUUUUAACCUUGGCUGCUGUCUCAUCCUACAAGGACCCUGCCAACCUUCAUCAAAGAAGAAAAAAGCAUGCUUCCGAUUGUAUAUAUUUGUUCAGGCAAGUUAAUCUGAUAGUUAUUGCCAUUGAUUAUAACUUGCAAGAGCUUGAUUGGAUCCUCCUGCCAUAACCAAAUAUAUAAUUAAACCAAAUUGAGGAAGGAAAGUAGGUAUGCUGAUUUUUACACUUUAACUAGGCAGGGUCAUCCCAUAGAAAAAGCCAGGCAGACCUAACCAGCUUCAUUUCUCUCGUGAAUUCAAUAAAGGCACAACGGUAACGAGAAACACCCAAUAUAUACAUCCAUAUAUGCGCUCUCCUCGAUCUGCCUAGAGAGGAGGGGGGAAGAGAGCCAGAAUAGAUAAGGAAGAGAUUACAAAAGCAAGCAGAGCAUCGGGGCUAUUCUGCCAGCCGGUUUCAAGUCUUUACCAAUCAAUGUUAUAAAUGAGUAACUGGUGCAGCAUUGCUGUGAUCGUCCGUCAAUUCGGAUUAAUGGAAAAAGCUGAAACUUGACAUAGGACACACAACUCUCUGUUUUAAAAGCCACUGCUGCAAUGGUUAUUUGUUACCGAGACAACUUUAUUUUGUAAAUUUCAGAAAAAAAAAAGAAGCUUUAUUUGGUGGUGGCACAGAAUCAAAGUUUUCGAUUAGUCUGCAGCAGCAGAUGGACGUUGCAGAACCCAGCAGUCUGCGGCUCCAGGGCCAUGAUGUAUCAUUACUACCAUUGUCGAGGGGAUCAACCAAAAACGUCAUCAGAAAAAACUGAGAUUUUAUUGCAGCAGCAAAGGCAAGUUUUUCUCUUGGCACAAAUUUUGGAGUACCCUUUUUAACAAUUUGGUGAAAAAAAAUUCUUUCUUGUGUCAGCGGCAACCCUUCUGUUUGCGGUUCCCCACUCUUCUCCUUGCUUUGCAAAGAACAUCUAAGAUAUGUUCUAACGGAGUAGAGAGAUAUUUGUUUAAUUCCAGCAUUAAUAGUUAAUUAGUAAAAAAGAAACUAUAGCAAAGAAUGAAAAGAAUAGAAGCUUGAAUUGGAGGUUGACCAUUAACACCAUCUGAAGUGAAAAUUGGAGACGAAAGCAACAUGGCAAUGAGCCAGAGAAGGAAGGAGCGUAUUGAUUUCUAUUGUAACAUAAUGUUGAUAGGAAAAAACGAGAAUUGAAUUCAUUCC